rnacentral:rRNA from 1 species
AGAGCGAACGCUGGCGGCAGGCCUAACACAUGCAAGUCGAGCGCCCGUAGCAAUACGGGAGCGGCAGACGGGAUAGUAACACGUGGGAACGCGCCCUUCGGUUCGGAAUAACUCAGGGAAACUUGAGCUAAUACCGAAUACGCCCUUACGGGGAAAGAUUUAUUGCCGAAGGAACGGCCCGCGUCCGAUUAGCUAGUUGGUGAGGUAAUGGCUCACCAAGGCUACGAUCGGUAGCUGGUCUGAGAGGAUGACCAGCAUCACUGGGACUGAGACACGGCCCAGACUCCUACGGGAGGCAGCAGUGGGGAAUAUUGGACAAUGGGCGCAAGCCUGAUCCAGCCAUGCCGCGUGGAUGAUGAGGGCCUUAGGGUUGUAAAGUCCGUUUUAACGGGGAAGAUAAUGACGGUACCGUAGAAUAAGCCCCGGCUAACGUUCGUGCCAGCAGCCGC